rnacentral:rRNA from 1 species
UACGGGGGGAGCAAGCGUUGUUCGGAAUUACUGGGCGUAAAGCGCGCGCAGGCGGUUUUUCAAGUCAGUGGUGAAAGCCCGGAGCUCAACUCCGGAACUGCCAUUGAAACUGUGAAACUUGAGGAUGAGAGAGGUGAGUGGAAUUCCCAGUGUAGAGGUGAAAUUCGUAGAUAUUAGGAAGAACACCGGUGGCGAAGGCGGCUCACUGGCUCAUUUCUGACGCUCAGGCGCGACAGCGUGGGGAUCAAACAGG